UGAGUUUCUGCUGUAUUCCUGUCUUUCUC
rnacentral:piRNA from 1 species